UGCAAACAAAAAGCGCCGAAAGAAUACAGGAACACAGACGAAGGGAAGGGACACAGCGCCUUGUCCUGUUUUCCUUCGUCUGUGUCUCUUUAUUUUUUUGGCGCUUUUUGUUUGAAAUUUUUUAACUUGCAUAAAUUAUUGCCUCCCCCCUUAAUGCUAGCUACCCAAUGUAGGCCCUUGUCCCCCCUUAAUGCUACCCGAUGUAGAAGUAGAUGGUUUAUGUCACUGGUAAGUCGCCUCUGGGCAUUUUUGUUGGAGACAGGAAGAGCUACAAGCUUCUGUGCAGUACAAGAGCAUUGGCCACUGGACAGUGUAGAGUCUUCAUUUCACAGUUUCCACCAUUACAAAAAGACUGCACCUCCUUGCUGCAAGGAACUCCAAAACUCCAACCGUGUCCUGCACACCGCAUAUGGUUAGAUUAGCUUUUGUCGUAACUGUGAGAUACCGGUCAGUGAUAAGUCCCCUUUGUGAAUCAUUCAAAAUUAGAAAAGAAACUGGAGUGGCCCCUCGUUGUGGUUGCUGACCAGUAUUUUUACAGUGACUAGUGUAAAGUAUCCAGUAUUUUUGUUUUGUCAUGUGCUUCGAGCAUUCUGUAGUGUAAUGCUAGCACACAGUGGUGCGCUAUGACACCACUUUGAUUUUAAGAUACUAAAUCUGAAUUGACUGACAUUCUACCGUCGAGUGGUUUUGGGAUCAUCAGUUUUGUCUGAAAACACAGUACCCUAGUUAAUUAUAAUUAUAAAAUUAGAUUUUAGGAGAUUACUUAAACACCCUUUAAUUUUUAUGAGAGUUUCGAUGAACAGGUUUAGAUACAUUGUUUCUCUUUUUUCAAAACAAUGCAAGAAUUAUUAUUGAACAGUUGAAACAUAAUUAACUGGCAAAUUGUUUCUCAUCAGAAUUGGCUGAGUGGUCUUGCAUCAGUUUGAAUAUGUCAUUCAUUGUGCAGUAACAGUAUCCUCCAGUUGGCACAAACUGUGACCUGGGUAUUUUAUUUUCAGGCACUGGGCCUUCAGAGGGAUGACACAUUUUCUACAACGAUGCUUUCCCAAGUCAUUGAGCACCUGAUGAAUGAACUUCCACCUUACCAAGGUGUGCCCGACGUCCUACCGGAGUACUUUUCUUCUGAGAGUCAAAAAAGCUCAGCUCUCGAUAUGGAUCUGACAACUUCCCAGACGCAGGAGUUUGAAAUGGAAGGCAAUGAAUAAAGCUAGCCUAGCUCAAGUG